rnacentral:rRNA from 1 species
UACGUAGGGUCCGAGCGUUGUCCGGAAUUAUUGGGCGUAAAGGGCUCGUAGGCGGUUCAGUAAGUCAGGUGUGAAAUCUUUGGGCUUAACCCAAAGCGUGCACUUGAUACUGCUGUGACUUGAGUUCGGUAGGGGAGUGGGGAAUUCCUAGUGUAGCGGUGAAAUGCGCAGAUAUCGGGAGGAACACCAGUAGCGAAGGCGGCUCGCUGGGCCAUUCCUGACGCUGAGACGCGAAAGCUAGGGGAGCGAACAGG